rnacentral:lncRNA from 1 species
AGCUCCGGCCACCGCCACCAGUUUGACCAGUCCGAGUCAGACCAGUGCCACCAGUUUGACCAGUCCGGCUCCGGCCACUGUGACCAGUUUGACCAGUCCAGCUCCGGCCACCGUGACCAGUUUGACCAGUCCGACUCGUCCCAGUUUGACCAGUCCGGCUCCAUCCAGUGUGACCAGUUUGACCAGUUCAGCUCCGGCCACUGUGACCAGUUUGACCAGUUCAGCUCCGGCCACCGUGACCAGUUUGACCAGUCCAACUCGUCCCAGUUUGACCAGUCCGAGUCAAACCAGUAUGACCAGUUCAACUCUGGCCACCACCACCAGUUUGACCAGUCCAGCUCCGGCCACCGUGACCAGUUUGACCAGUGCGAGUCAGACCAGUUUGACCAGUCCAGCUCCGGCCACUGUGACCAGUCCAGCUCCGGCCACCGCCACCAGUUUGACCAGUCCGACUCGUCCCAGUUUGACCAGUCUGAGUCCGACCAGCGUGACCAGUUUGACCAGUCCCAGUCAAACCAGUUUGACCAGUCCAACUCGUCCCAGUUUGACCAGUCCCAGUCAAACCAGUUUGACCAGUUCGACCAGUCCAGCUCCGGCCACCACGACCAGUUUGACCAGUCCAGCUCCGGCCAGCGUGACCAGUUUGACCAGUCCGGCUCGUCCCAGUAUGACCAGCAUGGCUCCCAGUAUCACCAGUAACACCAGUACCAUCAAACCUGCGGCUCCCAGUAUAACCAGUACGAGCGUUCCAGCGGCUCCCAGUGCUCCCAGUACGACCAGUACGAGCGUUCCAGCAGCUCCCAGUAUAACCAGUAACGCCAGUACGAGCGUUCCCACGGCUCCCAGUGCUCCCAGUAUCACCAGUAACACCAGUACAACCGUUCCCGCGGCUCCCAGUGCUCCCAGUAACACCAGUACAACAGUCCCAGCAGCUCCCAGUAUAACCAGUAACACCAGUACGACGGUUCCAGCGGCUCCCAGUGCUCCCAGCGCCACCGUUCCCAGCGCGGCCCCGCCCACCGCUGACGUCACCGCUGACGUCACCAAGAGCUCCUCCUCCUCCUCCUCGAGCUCCUCCUCCUCCUCCUCCUCCUCCUCGUCCGACUCCGACUCCGACUCCGACUCCAGUUCCAGCUCUUCCGACUCCGCCCCGCCCUCGCCGGCCCCGCCCACCGGGUAAGGUCCCGCCCCCCUCGCGCCUUCCCAUUGGUCGGAUUGAAUCCCCGCCCCCUUUUCCCCACAUCUGGCCACGCCCCCUGUUCCUGAUUGGGUGGUUAGGCCACGCCCCCUUUUCCUUAUUAGGGGUUAGAAGGAGGGGUCAUGUGAUUGGGUGGUUAGGCCACACCCCUUUUUCCUUAUUAGGGGUUAAAAGGAGAGGUCAUGUGAUUGAGGUGGGUGUUGAGGCCACGCCCCUUUUCCCCUUAUUUGGGGUUUAUAGGAGGGGUCACGUGAUUGACAUGGGGUGUUAAGGCCACGCCCCUUUUCCCUUAUUAGGGGUUAAAAGGAGGGGUCAUGUGAUUGAGGUGGGUGUUGAGGCCACGCCCCUUUUCCCUUAUUUGGAGUUAAAAGGAGGGGUCAUGUGAUUAGCACUGGUGUUAAGGCCACGCCCCUUUUCCCCCU